rnacentral:rRNA from 1 species
AUUGAACGCUGGCGGCAGGCCUAACACAUGCAAGUCGAGCGGAUGAAGGGAGCUUGCUCCUGGAUUCAGCGGCGGACGGGUGAGUAAUGCCUAGGAAUCUGCCUGGUAGUGGGGGAUAACGUCCGGAAACGGGCGCUAAUACCGCAUACGUCCUGAGGGAGAAAGUGGGGGAUCUUCGGACCUCACGCUAUCAGAUGAGCCUAGGUCGGAUUAGCUAGUUGGUGGGGUAAAGGCCUACCAAGGCGACGAUCCGUAACUGGUCUUAGAGGAUGAUCAGUCACAAUGGAACUGAGAAAAGGUCCAGACGCCUAAGGGAGGCAGCAGUGGGGAAUAUUGGACAAUGGGCGAAAGCCUGAUCCAGCCAUGCCGCGUGUGUGAAGAAGGUCUUCGGAUUGUAAAGCACUUUAAGUUGGGAGGAAGGGCAGUAAGUUAAUACCUUGCUGUUUUGACGUUACCAACAGAAUAAGCACCGGAUAACUUCGUG